rnacentral:rRNA from 1 species
UGCCAGCCGCCGCGGUAAUACGGAGGGUGCAAGCGUUAAUCGGAAUUACUGGGCGUAAAGCGUACGUAGGUGGUUUGGUAAGUCGGAUGUGAAAUCCCCGGGCUCAACCUGGGAAUUGCAUUCGAAACUGCCUCACUAGAGUCUAGCAGAGGGAUGGGGAAUUCCGGGUGUAGCGGUGAAAUGCGUAGAGAUCCGGAGGAACAUCAGUGGCGAAGGCGGCUUUCUGGCUCAAUACUGACACUGAGGAGCGAAAGCGUGGGUAGCGAACAGGAUUAGAUA